UACGGGGGGGGCUAGCGUUGUUCGGAAUUACUGGGCGUAAAGCGCACGUAGGCGGAUCAGUCAGUCAGGGGUGAAAUCCCGGGGCUCAACCCCGGAACUGCCUUUGAUACUGCUGGUCUUGAGGUCGAGAGAGGUGAGUGGAAUUCCGAGUGUAGAGGUGAAAUUCGUAGAUAUUCGGAGGAACACCAGUGGCGAAGGCGGCUCACUGGCUCGAUACUGACGCUGAGGUGCGAAAGCGUGGGGAGCGAUCCGG
rnacentral:rRNA from 1 species